rnacentral:tRNA from 1 species
GCCUGGGUGGCUUAGUUGGUUAAGUGUUGGACUUCAGCUCAGGUCACGAUCUCUAGGUUUGUGGGUUCAAGCCCCGCAUCAGGCU